ACCAACAUGGCAAAUGUUUCUCCAGCACCGCUGAAAGGGCAAAUGUCUAGGUCCCGGUCUGGGCCUGUUGCUUCCCAGACCGGGUCCUUCCACUCGAAGUAUCCACUACCAACAUGGCAAAUGUUUCUCCAGCACCGCUGAAAGGGCAAAUGUCUAGGUCCCGGUCUGGGCCUGUUGCUUCCCAGACCGGGUCCUUCCACUCGAAGUAUCCACUACCAACAUGGCAAAUGUUUCUCCAGCACCGCUGAAAGGGCAAAUGUCUAGGUCCCGGUCUGGGCCUGUUGCUUCCCAGACCGGGUCCUUCCAGUCGAAGUAUCCACUACCAACAUGGCAAAUGUUUCUCCAGCACCGCU